GGGGAUGUAUUGUCUCGACAGGAUUGCUCUUUGAAAACUGCAAGCCGCUAAAGAAAUCUUAAGCGUUAAAUAUGGUUUCAAAACACAAACGGCAAAAAUUUUGUCGGUUCCGUCCUUGCUUCAUUGCAAGGAGCAUUUGCUACUCCUAGAGUAGCUUACGCUUAAGCGGUAUCUUGGAAUUAAUCUCUUUCUGGUGGAUUACCAAGGUAUGUACCCAGCCAGAAUGCUGUUAAUAUAAUUCUGAUCGAUCAAUAUUAACAAAAGAAAGUUUGGUCAUUCAUUAGUUUUCCUUCCAGCUGGUUACAACUAAUGAACAAAAAUUAACUGGAUAAGCUUGUAGAAGUUUUUUAAGUUACAAUUUUGGACUCGGCUUCACCGCCGACAUCUCCACCU
rnacentral:tmRNA from 1 species